rnacentral:rRNA from 1 species
GACGAACGCUGGCGGCGUGCUUAACACAUGCAAGUCGAACGGAGUGGCGAACGGGUGAGUAACACGUGGGUGACCUGCCCUGCACUUCGGGAUAAGCCUGGGAAACUGGGUCUAAUACCGGAUAGUGUGGGAUGGGCCUGCGGCCUAUCAGCUUGUUGGUGGGGUAAUGGCCUAGCACGGCGGCGACGGGUAGCCGGCCUGGGAGGGUGGACGGCCACAUUGGGACUGAGACACGGCCCAGACUCCUACGGGGGGCAACAGUGGGGAGUAUUGCGCAAUGGUCGGAAGCCUGAUGCAGCGGCGCCGGGUGGGGGAUGACGGCCUACGGGUGGUAAACUCCUUUCACCAUCGACGCGGUAGAUGGAGAAGAAGCACCGGCUAACUACGUGCCAGCAGCCGCGGUAAUUC